GCAUAAGCAAAGAAGCAGUUCAGUAGUGGUGGCGGCUCCGGUUGAGAGAUUUGACGGUGCUGGGAGUCAAAACGUCCGUGGCCAUGAAUUACCCUGUGGAGCGGCCGAGGUGUCGGCGGGUCAUUCCGUUAACAAUGACGAGCGGUUGUCAAUCGACAACAACUUGGGUGGUAACGCGGAUUUCAAUUCGUCCCUGAU
rnacentral:ncRNA from 1 species